CUCCAUUCAGGUUUAAUUAUUGGACUUCUUUCACCUUAUAUAGCCCAGCUCAAAUUCUUUUGUGUUUUUAAAAUGCAAAAUUGAGAUCGGGAGAGCA